GCAUAACAAUACGCACAUUAAAAUUCAGUUCAAGAGAAGUCCGAGUCUGAUGUCAGAAGAUGUAACCAAAGAAAAUAAACAAAAUGACAAUAAUACAUAAAUAACAACAGACUACUAGCAGUUAACUGACAUGCCAGCUCCAGACUUCAAUUAAACUGACUGAAAGAUUAUGAUUUCAUCAUAUGAACAUCAGGCACAAUCCUUCCCGUUAGGGGUUUAGUAUCAUACCAUCAUAACAUAUAUGAGAAGAACAUAACCCGUGUCAUGCCAACAACUGGUUUUUGAAUAAAUGUGUUUAGUUCCGAUGCAAAGACCCUAUAAGUGAAUCAAUAUUAACAGAUUAAUGCCAAAA
rnacentral:lncRNA from 1 species